rnacentral:rRNA from 1 species
AUUGAACGCUGGCGGCAUGCCUUACACAUGCAAGUCGAACGGCAGCGGACCUUCGGGUGCCGGCGAGUGGCGAACGGGUGAGUAAUAUAUCGGAACGUACCUUUCAGUGGGGGAUAACGUAGCGAAAGUUACGCUAAUACCGCAUAUUCUGUGAGCAGGAAAGCAGGGGAUCGCAAGACCUUGCGCUGAUUGAGCGGCCGAUAUCAGAUUAGCUAGUUGGUGAGGUAAAGGCUCACCAAGGCGACGAUCUGUAGCGGGUCUGAGAGGAUGAUCCGCCACACUGGAACUGAAGACACGGUCCAGACUCCUACGGGAGGCAGCAGUGGGGAAUUUUGGACAAUGGGCGCAAGCCUGAUCCAGCCAUGCCGCGUCGAGUGAAGAAGGCC